rnacentral:rRNA from 1 species
GAUGAACGCUGGCGGCGUGCCUAAUACAUGCAAGUCGAGCGAACAGACGAGGAGCUUGCUCCUCUGACGUUAGCGGCGGACGGGUGAGUAACACGUGGAUAACCUACCUAUAAGACUGGGAUAACUUCGGGAAACCGGAGCUAAUACCGGAUAAUAUAUUGAACCGCAUGGUUCAAUAGUGAAAGACGGUUUUGCUGUCACUUAUAGAUGGAUCCGCGCCGCAUUAGCUAGUUGGUAAGGUAACGGCUUACCAAGGCAACGAUGCGUAGCCGACCUGAGAGGGUGAUCGGCCACACUGGAACUGAGACGCGGUCCAGACUCCUACGGGAGGCAGCAGUAGGGAAUCUUCCGCAAGGGGCGAAAGCCUGACGGAGCAACGCCGCGUGAGUGAUGAAGGUCUUCGGAUCGUAAAACUCUGUUAUUAGGGAAGAACAAAUGUGUAAGUAACUAUGCACGUCUUGACGGUACCUAAUCAGAAAGCCACGGCUAACUACGU